UUUCUACAUUUGGCGCCAGGACAGCGGGUACCAAAGGCCUCACGAGCUGCGCCACUGCUGGACGCUGGUCUGCUGCGUCACGUAUGAGAAGGCCGUGUCUGCGCGCUGUUCCCACAAAUCAACAAUCAGUUGAUGAAAUGAAAAAAAAAAAAAAAAAAAAAAAAAAAUAUGUGAUCAAAAUUUGAAAAAAAAAGACAAAAGAAAGUAAACCAAAAAUAUAAGAACAUAAGUAAGGACAAGAAACAUACAAAAAAGAGGGAGCCGAUACAAAGGCUUUCACAAAUCCCGAGCACUGAACUGGAACAAACCUUCGAUGAACCUUCACGUCGCCACUCGCCUCUCCUGAUUGCACCUCACCCUCAGAAAACCCCAUUAUUACUCUAGAUUGCUAGACCAGAUUAGUGAUGGUGAAGUGUACAGCAUUCAACUGUCAGUAGGUAAAGGUCCAUCAAGGCAGAUAAGGCAAGUAAUGAGGCUGGUGGGUCUACUGCAUAUAGGCACUCAGUGUUCAAGUUUCCCCAGUCACAUAGGCCAGAGAUAAGGAAUAAGUGGAUCGCUGUAUUGGAACACAAGGCCACAAACUGGAACCCAGACUAUGCUGGCAUUUGUGAGCUCCAUUUCAACCCACAGGCCUUUCUGCUGGUGACCUACAGGAAAGAAAAUGUCAAAGAAAGAUCCUCAAGACCACUGCCAUUCCUUCAGUCUUUAACUGUUACCCAGAGUGAGUAGUUAAGUGCACUACUUUUUGACAUAUUAUUAACAAAUUUCCAUUGCUUCACUGUAUGUGGAUAUAUUAAGGUAGGAAUGAGCAAGUAAACAAGAGGAGUGAGUGAUAACACAGCACCAAAACAUUGUACUCCUUGUGCAAGUGUCAGGUUCUAUCACCACCAAACGAAUAUUUUGUAAGCAAGAUUAAUGAAUUUUGUGUGGCUAACAAAAAAUAUAUGCAAACAAUCUUACAGUAAUCCACAUAGCACAGGAACUAACUAACUACUGAAGUUAAAAGGUGGCAAAGAUAAGAUAACUAGAAAUGUACUCAAGAUGUAGAAGUGACAGGUAGUAGCUUGGAUGGUAAUGUCUGAUCUGGUAUGGAAGCAAGGGUUAGCUAUCAGAUGAAUGGAGGAAGGCACUUGUUGUAUGUCUGUAUGAAGGGUGUAGGGAUGAGUCAUUGUGUUGCUUCUUUCUCUUAUCAGUUUGACAGAAGUUGGUGGAAGUACCACCAUAUUGGAAAAUUAAAGAUUUUUUGUUUAUUGAAAAUUGGGUUAUCAGAGAUGAUUGUUGACAGAGUGCACAUACUGACUGAAUUCAGAUAAGAAGUGAAUGUGCAAUGCUAUGGAGCUGUGAUCAGAGAAUCAGUGUUAAGACUUUGUACUGCUGGUAUAUAUGUUGAAUGUGGUAAUUUUUCUCUUAAAAGUCUUGUUUAGUGAAAACCAUUUUAUGUAAUUAUUUGAGCCUUGAGACAUAAUCAAUCACCUUGGUGUUGUUAGGCUGAAAGCAUAUCUGUUACCAAUCUUAUAAUUUAAUUGCCAAGUUUUAAAAAUUUAUGUAGAGCUUUGAUUGCAGUUGUUAUAGAUAGUGGUGUUCUAGUAGAUUCCAGAAUUGAUUCUGUGAAUGAUACUGAUUCAGUAAUAUUUGUGAUCGACCAAACACUCUUAGGAACAAAGUGGACCUUAUGAAUGUUGUAUAGAAUUUUACUUUGAAAAAAAUUGUAAGUCCAAAA